CAGUAGCCACGGGAAAACGAGGGGGGCAAGCGUUGUUCGGAUUUAUUGGGCGUAAAGGGUGCGUAGGCGGUUUGGCAAGUCUCGUGUGAAAUCUAUGGGCUCAACCCAUAGCCUGCACGAGAAACUACCGGGCUUGAGUAUUGGAGAGGUGAGUGGAAUUUCCGGUGUAGCGGUGAAAUGCGUAGAUAUUGGGAAGAACACCGGUGGCGAAGGCGGCAAUCUGGCUCAUUACUGACGCUGAGGCGCGAAAGCGUGGGGAGCAAAUAGGAUUAGAUACCCCCGUAGUCCCUGUCUCUUAUAC
rnacentral:rRNA from 1 species